GGGGGGGUAGUUCAGUUGGUUAGAAUACCGGCCUGUCACGCCGGGGGUCGCGGGUUCGAGUCCCGUCCACUCCG
rnacentral:tRNA from 1 species